UCUUGGUUCAGGACGAACGCUGGCGGCGUGCCUAAUACAUGCAAGUCGAACGGUCUUUCUAUGGAAGCUUGCUUCCACUGAGAAGAUAGUGGCGAACGGGUGAGUAACACGUGGGUAACCUGCCCAUAAGAGGGGGAUAACAUCCGGAAACGGGUGCUAAUACCGCAUAGUUUUCUUGAUCGCAUGAUCGGGAAAGGAAAGACGGCCUUUGUGCUGUCGCUUAUGGAUGGACCCGCGGCGUAUUAGUUAGUUGGUGAGGUAACGGCUCACCAAGACGAUGAUACGUAGCCGACCUGAGAGGGUGAUCGGCCACAUUGGGACUGAGACACGGCCCAAACUCCUACGGGAGGCAGCAGUAGGGAAUCUUCCGCAAUGGACGAAAGUCUGACGGAGCAACGCCGCGUGAGUGAAGAAAGGUUUUCGGAUCGUAAAACUCUGUUGUCAGAGAAGAACAAGUUGGAGAGUAACUGCUCCAGCCUUGACGGUAUCUGACCAGAAAGCCACGGCUAACUACGUGCCAGCAGCCGC
rnacentral:rRNA from 1 species